GCUCUACCACUUCAUUUCCGCACGACCGAAUCUCUGCCCAAUUCCCUCCCCGCUACGCACCUCCGCCCUCCAUUCAUGGAGUCGGCGUGGGGGUCAACACCCCUCUCUUUCGGGAUACGAUAUUCGUUUUUGUGUUCUUCUGUUAAUUAUUGUUGUCAAUUUUCAUUUUCGUUUCAAUUUGUUGUCAAUUUUAAUUUUAGGGUUUUGUGUUAUCUGUUAUUUUCGUCUACUAUUAUUUGCAUUGAAGUGUGUUUCACAAUUUAAUUUAUUGUUCGCACCUCCACUCCGGCCUCCACCCGAUUCCCUCCCCGCUCCACCACCUCUGCUUCGCACCUCCGCUCUCCGUUCAUGGAGUUGUCGCAGGGGUCAACCCUCCACUUUUGGGCCUCCGCCUGAUUCCCACCCCGCUCCACCACCUCCGCUCCGCACCUCCGCCCUCCGUUCAUGAAGUCGGCACGGGUUUUUUUUAUUCUUCUGUUAAUUAUUGUUGUCAAUUUUAAUUUUGUUGUCGAUUUUAAUUUUAAGGUUUUUCUGUUAUUUGUUAUUUUCGUUUUCUGUUAUUUACAUUGAAGUUUGUUUACAAUUUAAUUUAUUAUUCUUUUAAGGAAUUGAAGUGUAUUUGGGCUCGUAUUCUAAAGUGAAUCCUGGAAAAAAUUCAUAUCCGAGGACUACUCAGAUCAAUCUUGGUAAACUAAACCCCUAUGAUAAUCUGUGCAUAAUGGCUUAUGCUGAAUUGGAUCGCAAAAAAAUGAUGGAACUCUCAAAGAACAUGUCUUAGGCACUCUUUCAGAGUCAUGUUCCCAUAUCCAGUGUGAUAUGAUACUUGACAGAAAAUUCAUACUUCAUCACGAUUCAAAGUACACUAAUAUCCAUUUCAUAGGAUAUCUGACUUCUGAUGCAGUGACAAAACAAGAUGACGGGAAAGCUGAUUCCGGCAAUCAGGGGUGAGCAUUCGGUUAAUUCGAUUAAUUUGAUAUUAAUUUUGUAUAAAUUCUUUUUAUUGUUAUUUUAAACAAAUUUAGUUAAUUCGGUGUUAACUGAAAUAACUAAUUCGGU